GAUUCAAGAGAGACGGAAUAUUCAGUAGGUAGUUAUAGUAGCUUUAAACAACUGGACGUAGUCAGCUGUAGGUAGUUAUUGCCAGCUGGAGGCAGUUCCAGUAACUGCAAACGGUUACUAUUAGUUAACUAAUCUAAAGAAAUAUAAAUAGGAGGAGAUAUUUCUGCAGUGUUUCAUUCCAUAAUUUUCAGAAAUAAAAGAUUACUUUCUUCUCUUCCAAAUCUAUCACUUUCUCCCUAAUUUCUUUCUUCUCUUCUCUAAGUUUCUCUGUAACUGCUCUGUUAUGGUUCCGAAACCCUAACAUUUACAUGAUUGCAUCAUAACAACCAUGUCAAGGUUAUAUCUAUUGGUUUUAUGUGAAAGAAGAAAAUACUACCGUUAUUCUUCAUAUGACUAAAUCAGGUGCAUAUAGCAAAAUUACAUGCGAUAGGAGAAAAACAGAGUUGACUAGAUUGUCAGAAAUAAAUGUGCAACCAUUUAUGCAGAUGACUCCAAAAUGAGACUAGUUGCUAAUAUUAGUCUACAACAACUUGGAGAUUAAGAAUCAAACCUAUUUGUUUGCUAUAAAAUGUGUCCUUAGAUAUAAUUAUUUGAACAUCUAUCAGAUUUAAUUUUACUAGUCUACUGUUACAGCUGGCAGGAUGACAGCUCCAGUUCCCAAGGCUUCCAAGUUAUCAAAAUCUCUUUGCCUCUUGUAGUAUCACAAAAGAUUUUUGCAAUGAAAAUUGGAGAACUCUGAACAAUGCUAGUUUCGAUUGGUAAGAUUACACAAAAUAAUAAUAAUAAU
rnacentral:misc_RNA from 1 species